UGGGGAAUUUUCCGCAAUGGGCGAAAGCCUGACGGAGCAAUACCGCGUGAGGGAUGACGGCCUAUGGGUUGUAAACCUCUUUUUUCAGGGAGGAAUCAAUGACGUGUACCUGAAGAAUAAGCAUCGGCUAACUCCGUGCCAGCAGCCGCGGUAAGACGGAGGAUGCAAGUGUUAUCCGGAAUCACUGGGCGUAAAGCGUCUGUAGGUGGUUAAAUAAGUCAACUGUUAAAUCUUGAGGCUCAACCUCAAAAUCGCGGUCGAAACUAUUUGACUAGAGUAUAGUAGGGGUAAAGGGAAUUUCCAGUGGAGCGGUGAAAUGCGUAGAGAUUGGAAAGAACACCAAUGGCGAAAGCACUUUACUGGGCUAUUACUGACACUGAGAGACGAAAGCUAGGGUAGCAAAUGGGAUUAGAUACCCCAGUAGUCCUAGCCGUAAACGAUGGAUACUAGAUGUUGAACAGAUCGACCUGUGCAGUAUCAAAGCUAACGCGUUAAGUAUCCCGCCG
rnacentral:rRNA from 1 species